AUUGAACGCUGGCGGCAGGCCUAACACAUGCAAGUCGAGCGGAUGAAGGGAGCUUGCUCCUGGAUUCAGCGGCGGACGGGUGAGUAAUGCCUAGGAAUCUGCCUGGUAGUGGGGGAUAACGUCCGGAAACGGGCGCUAAUACCGCAUACGUCCUGAGGGAGAAAGUGGGGGAUCUUCGGACCUCACGCUAUCAGAUGAGCCUAGGUCGGAUUAGCUAGUUGGUGGGGUAAAGGCCUACCAAGGCGACGAUCCGUAACUGGUCUGAGAGGAUGAUCAGUCACACUGGAAAUGAGACACGGUCCAGACUCAUACGGGAGGCAGCAGGGGGGAAUAUUGGACAAGGGGCGAAAGCCGGAUCCCGCCAUGCGGGGGGAGGGAAGAGGGUCUUCGGAUUGUAAAACACUUUAAGUGGGGAGGAAGGGAAGUAAGUAAAUCCCUUGGUGUUUGGAGGUAACAAAAAAAAAAGACCCGGGCAAACUUGGAG
rnacentral:rRNA from 1 species